rnacentral:rRNA from 1 species
UACGUAGGGUGCUAGCGUUGUCCGGAUUUAUUGGGCGUAAAGGGCUCGUAGGCGGUCUGUCGCGUCGGCUGUGAAAACCCGGGGCUCAACCCCGGGCCUGCAGUCGAUACGGGCAGACUAGAGUGCGGUAGGGGAGACUGGAAUUCCUGGUGUAGCGGUGAAAUGCGCAGAUAUCAGGAGGAACACCGGUGGCGAAGGCGGCCUGCUGGGCAGUUUUGCUGACACUGAGGCGCGACAGCGUGGGGAGCAAACAGG